UUCUAAUAGACUUAAUUAUUAGUAAAAUCUGCUCAAUGAAUUAUUCAAUAGCCGCUAUUAGUGCUAAGGUAGCAUAAUCACUUGUCUUAUAAUUAAAGACUAGAAUGAAAGAUUUAACAUUUAAAUAAUUUUAUUAAAUUUAUUCUUUUAAAUUAUUCUAAAUAUAAAAAAAUAUUUAUUUUAAAGAAAGACGACAAGACCCUAUUGAACUUUACUUCAGUUUAACUGGGGCAGUUAAUAAAAUAUAAAUUUUACUUCAAUAUUUCUACAAAUACCCAAAAUAUUUGAAAAAUCAAGUUACCAUAGGGAUAACAGCAUAAUUAUUUUUUAAAGAUCUUAUAUAAAAAAUAGAUUAUGACCUCGAUGUUGAAUAAAAUUCUAUUUUAUGAAAAAAUUAAAUAAGAAAGUCUGUUCGACUUUUAAACAUUUACA
rnacentral:rRNA from 1 species